GAUGCCCAGCGCGCCGUUGAAAGCGGGAGAGACGCCGCCGUGCCUCGUUUCUGCCUGUCCCAACUGCAUCACGCCUGGCGUUGCUUUCAUGAUGUGGAGAAGGCAGAUGACCUAUACGAACGGCCUGUCUCACGAGGGUGCGCUGUGCGAGAGGUGUGUGUGGACUCGCGUGGGCCCGAUCGCUUACCUCAUGACCGACGACGUGCUCUCCAUGGCUGAAGUUCCAGAGGGCGUCAACCAGCACUUAUUCCACGUCAUUUUCCAUGCACCGUUGUGAUUUGAAUUUCUUUCUGUAACA